rnacentral:rRNA from 1 species
UUUAAUUUAAAUUUAAUUGUUAUUAUUAUUUAAUUUUUUUUAAUAAAAAUAAUUUAUUAUCUUAGUAUAUUUUAUUGAAGUUGAUUGUUUAUAUAUUUAUAGUUGAUUUUUCUGUAAGGGUUAAUUAUUUAUAUUAUUAAAGUAGAAUUGAAUUUUUGUACCUUUUGCAUCAGGGUUUAUUUAAUUAUCUAAUUUAAUAUUAUUUUCCCGAAAUUACAAGAGUUAUUUUAUAUUGUAAGUUAAUGUUUUAUAAUUAUUUAUAAGUGUAAAAUUGAGUUAUAUGCUAUUCAUUUGUAAAUAUCUGGUUUUUUAAUAAAUAAAUUUAAUUUAGGAUUAAUUAUUCAUCAUUUAUAAAUUUAAUUAUAGUUGAUUUACUUAAUCUAAUAUUUUAGGGGAUAAGCUCUUAAAUAAUUUUAUAGAUACAUAUUUAUAUAUAUAUAUAUAUGUAGGUUUAGAAACUACCAUCAUUAAUUUCGUUAUAGUUUAUGUAUAUGUAUUAUUUAUUUCAUUUUUAUCUUAAUUUUAUAUUAAAAUGUUAUUAAUAAUUAAUUUUUAUAAGUAAUUAUGAUAAAAUUAGUAUUUUUGUAAUUUGUAUUAUAGUAACUCGGCAACUAUAAUGUUCACCUGUUUAUCAAAAACAUGUCCUAUUGAUAUUUAUAUUAGGUCUAGCCUGCCCACUGAUAAUUUAAAUUUAAAGGGCCGCAGUAUUUUGACUGUGCGAAGGUAGCAUAAUCAUUUGUCUUUUAAUUGGGGACUUGUAUGAAUGGUUGGAUGAGACAUUGACUUUCUUUAUUAUAAUUUAUGAAUUUAAUUUUUUAGUUAAAAAGCUAAAAUGUUUUUAUAGGACGAGAAGACCCUAUAGAAUUUUAUUUAAUUUUGUAAUAUUUAAAUUGGAUAAUUAUUUAUUUAUUACUUUUAUAUAAAUUUUGUUGGGGCGAUGUAGAAAUUUUAUGAACUUUCUAUUUUUUUUAUUAUGAAUUAAUAUUUUAUUGAUCCUUUUUUAAGGAUAACAAGAUUAAAUUACCUUAGGGAUAACAGCGUAAUUUCUAUGGAGAGUUCUUAUUGAUAUAGAAGGUUGCGACCUCGAUGUUGGAUUAAAUUAAGAUUUUAAUGCAGAAGUUAAGAUUCUAGGUCUGUUCGACCUUUAAUUAUUUACAUGAUCUGAGUUCAGACCGGCGUGAGCCAGGUUGGUUUCUAUCCUUAAAUUUAUUAUUAUUUUUUAGUACGAAAGGACCAAUUAUAAGGAAUAUUUCUUUAUUCAUAUGAUUUUUAUUAAUAUA